AGCGAAGGGCACGCCCCGCGCGGGUGCCAGGGAGGCCGACGGGCGCGUCCGCGGUCGCUGCUCACCUGCGCUCCCCACUGCCCGGCCCGGCCCGCCUCGCCCACCGAGUCUGGAAGCCCACACUCACCCCUUUACCCGCGAAACACGGCCGGGGCCGGCGGCGGGUCGGGAGUCCGGGAUGGUAGAUCCCCCUCCAGGCGCCUCGCUGACAUUUUGUCCCGGACGGAAAACCUCCGCGCGUGCCCCUUAAAGACACAGCGCUCCAUUCACACGUCUGCGGGGAAAGGGGGGCCGUCACGUGUGGCCUUCACCCGAAAGCGGUAGGGGAGUCGCUUUGAAACCGCCAAGGAUCGCGAGCGACAGACUUGUGUUGGCCAGGGUUUUAAGAUGACGCAAUAGCUGAGUGUGGUUGAAAUGUAACUAUUGUUUUACAACUUUGCAUUAACCUUCCAAGACCUGGAUUCCCGGGCCUGAGUCUCAAGGCGCGGUUUGCAUCCUUGCAGGCUGUAGGCGCAUGAUGUUACAAGUUAUUGGAAGAAAUCCCUCCAACCUAGGUUGGGACAGAUGAAGGCGGCGCUUAUUGGUGUCCACCAAAACACCAGCAUGGUGUACCAGCUUUGGCUAGAUUAUGCUCGGGUAACGAACAACCCCUGCAACUCAGUGGCUUAAAGGUCCAUUUCUCAAGCAAAUUACAGUGGCUGCAGGGAGCUUUGGCAGUACUCCACCAGUUUUCUUCACUCCAGGCUCCAGGCUGAAAGAUCAACUUUUCUGGGCCAUUCUCCCUGCUGGGCUGAUGGGCCUGAAUUGCAGGAAAACAAACUCAGGGAUCCCACUGAUUCUACAUUAUGAACACCAGAGACUGGGUAAUUAAUAAAAAGAAGAAAUUUAUCUGGCCUACAGUUCUGGAGCCUUGGAAGUCCGAGAUCAAGGGGCUGCAUCUGGAAAACACAGAUCCUGGUGCCGAACAUGAGGACAAGACAGGCCGAAGGAGAAAGUGGAAGGAGGGGAUCUUCUCUCUCAGCCUCAUCCUCCUGGGCCUGGAUGCUGGAGAGUCAUGAGGUGCUUCAGAGUACUCUGGGUGAGGAGGGAAAGAUGGUGCCCACCACAUGGAGGCCAGCCUAGGUCUUGUAUGAAACCCGUGAGGAGAUUCUCUCUCCCUUGCUGGCUUUGAAAAAGCAAGUUGCCAUGUGAAGAGGGCCAUAUAGCACAGGAGCUGAAGGCGGCCUCCAACUGACAGCAAGAAAAUGAGGUCCUCAAUCUGACAACCUGCAAGAAACUGAAUGCUCUAAAAGCCACAUGAGCUUGAGAGCGGAUCUGACCCCAGCCAAAUCUCUGAAGUCCACAGGCAGGAAAUGAAGAUCAGAAAAAGGCUAUUGUCUCAUGAAUAUAAGCCAGACUCCACAGAAGCUGGAGUCCUUCAUUAUGGAGCUAAACACAUACACCUGGCUUAGGAGUCAGAAAAACUGAAAGAGAAUUCAGGGAAGUAGAGAAAUUGCAAGCCCAGAUGCUGCUUCAGACCAAAGAAGCAAGUCAGCAGAUCAGCAACAAUGUGUAUCAGUUCCAAAAUGACUUACACAGGUACCAAGACAAGACAUUAUAUACACUUAUAUAGUCAAAUACUUUAAAACUGUUAACAAACUUGCUACAAUUGUCUCAUUUGUUUUUUAACCUUAAUAUCACAGAUCAAGUUUGUAAUCUCAAAAGUUCACCCUGGCUGCUGUGUGGAGUAUUCUCUUAUCUGCUCAUAUUAUGUUGUGCUUAUUCAUUCAUCAAUUAAUGGAAAUUUGGGUUGUUUCAUGAUUUUGACUAUAAUGAAUAAUGUUGCUGUAAACAUUCAUGUAGUUUUGUGUGGACGUGCUUUUCUUUCUCUUGGGUAGGUUCCUAUGAGUGGAAUCACUAGAUUGUAUGGUAAAUGUAUGUUUAACUUUUAAAGAAACUGUCAAACUGUUUUCUAACAUGAACGGGCCAUUUUACGUUCUUAUCAUCAAUAUAUGAUGGUUUCAAUUUUUCCACAUCCUCACCAACAUUUGGUAUUGUCUCUCUUUUACAUCAUAACUAUUUUAGUGGGGAUGUAGUGAUAUCUUAUCGUGGUUUUAAUUUGUGUCUCCCUAAUGACUAAUGAUAUUGUGCAUCUUUCUAUAUGCUUGUUAGCCAUUUAUGUACAUUCUUUAGUGAAAUGGCUAUUCAAAUCUUUUGCCUACUUAAAAAUCGAGUUGUUUUUCUUAUUAUUCAGUUGUAAGAGUUUUUUUUUAUUCUGUGCAAAAGUCCUUUAUCAAGUCUAGUAGUUUUGAAUAUUUUCUCAGCCUAGAGCUUGUUUUUAAACAUUUUUUUCUUAAUGAUGUUUUGAAGUGCAAAAGUUUAGUUUUGAUGAAGUCUAAUGUAUCACUUCUUCCUUUAACUGUCAUGAUUUUUGUGUCAUAUCUAAGAACUCUUUACCCAACUCAAAGUUACCAAGGUAUUUUCUUCCAGAAGUUCUGUAUUUUUAACUCUUCUAUAUAGGCAUGUGAUCCAUUUUUAAUUCAUUUUUUGCAUAUGAUGUGAGAGAAGGGCCUAAGUUCAUAUUCGUACAUGUGGAUGUGCAAUAGUUCCAGGAUCACUUGCUGAGAAAAGACUAUCUUUUCCCCAUUGAUUUUUUUGGCACCUUUGUCAAAAAUCAAUUGACCAUAAAUGCAAGGGUUUAUAUCUGAACUCUCAGUUCUUCUCCAUUCAUCUCUAAGGAUAUGUCUAUGCUUACAUCAAUAUCAAAGUGUAUUCAUGUGGCUUUGUAGUAAAUUUUGAAAUUGGGUGAUAGAAGUCUUUCAAUUUUGUUCUUAGUUUUCAAAAUAGUUUUGGCUAUACUUUGCAUUUUGAUAUAAAUUUUAGGAUCUGUGUGUGAAGUUUUACAAAAAUGCUUGCUGGAAUUUUGAUAGGAAUUGUGUUGAACCUAUAGAUCUAUUUGAGGGGGGAAUUGCCAUCUUGACAAGCUUGAGUCUUGCAAUCCAUGGACAGGGAAUGUCUCCAUUUAUUUAAAUCUUCAUUAAUUUUUCUUACUAAUGUUUCACAAUUUUUAGUGUAUAAGUCUUAAACUUUUAUUACAUUUAUUCCUGUUUAUUCUUUUUGAUGCUUUGUGAAUAUAAUUUUUUUAAUUUUAUUUUUUGGGCUUGACAUUGCUGAUAUAUACAAAUACAAAAGAUUUUUAAAAUACUGAUCUUAGAUCCUACAGCUUUGCUAAACUCUUUGAUUAGUUCUAGAUAUUUUAUGUAUAGAUUCCUUGGUGUUUUCUAUACACAAGAUUAUGCCAUCUGCAAAUAGAUGCAGUUUUAAUUCUUCCUUUACUCUUAGUCUGCUUUUAAUGAGCUAUUAUGUCUUCUGUUCUGCAUUGGUCAAACCCUCACCUGGAUCACAGUAUUUAUUACUGACCAUCACAGUUUCCUUGAGGAAAUGAAAAAAAUUAAAAAGAUAAAGUAACUAUUACCAUAAUCCCUACAUUCAGACACAGUAUUUAUGAGCAUGUGGGGUAAAUUCUUCCAGACACUCUUGCUAGAGGCUGUGUAGCAGAGCUUAUGAUGCACUGAGCCACAUCCUGCAGCCACCAGACUCCAGUGUAGCUGUGGUGAACCUUGCCUUGCACUUUACCAGUGUCCAUAUAAGCUCACAUCACAAUGUCUUUCUGUUUUGCUUUCUGGAGGUCAGGAAAGCCUGCUGAGCUAUAUGUAGACCCAACCCGUAUUUUCAAGGUAAUACUCCUUAGUUGAUAGAAGCCCUCAGUCGAUGGGAACAGGAUUUCAUGGAUUAAUGCCCCAGCUCCCCCCUCCUGCAGGAUAUAGAAUGUGUGACUAUCCAAGAUGCUUGCAAUAUGGUUUCUCAGAGUUCCCAAUGGAAUUGAAUCCCAGCUGCAUACAACUGUAACCCACUCGUUUAUUAACUUUUCUCCCUUCCUCUUUCCCUUCACUUCUGUUUCCUAAGACUACUUCCCUCUAAAUGAUUUGCACCCAAGUCCUUGUCUCAAGGUCUUCUAGAGAAACCCAAACUAAGGCAGUUUGUCAAGGGACAAACUAGGGUACAUCCUUGAAGCAGCCAUUAGGAGAGUGAGAGGUCCUGCAAUGAUGUAAUAUAAAAACGGUGAAAAUAGCUGAGAAAACUAGAAAAAGAGAAAACUUAUGGAAAUAAUCAUAGUCAUCUUUAAAUACCUGCAAAGCAAUCAGAUAUAAGAGGACCAGAGGAGACACUGGUUUUAACUGAGCACCUUCCAGGUUAUAUACUAGCUACUAUGCAAUGUGUUUAUUCCAUCCUUACAGCAACCCAGAGGCAAUGAGAACUACCCUUAUUUUUCAAAUAAGAAAACUGAGGCACAGAUGAUUAAGGAACUUGCCAAGGUUCAAAGCUAGCAGGUAUUGGAACUAGGACUGAAAUCCAAGCCUGUCUGCCCCCCAACCUGUGUCUUGCUGCUGUGUGUGUUGCUUUGAAGGGCAAAACAGAGACUAGCAGGUAGACAUUCUAAAUCCGUAGAAUUGCGUUUGUAUGAAUGCAGUGUGUGGCAGAGAUUGUCCAGAUGUUCAUCAAUGGUGUUUUCUCUGUUCUAUUUCUGGACAUAUAGGAACACUUCAUGUCCUAGCCUCCUUUAUAAGUAGAUUGGGGCCAUGUAACAGGGUUCUGGCAAAUGGGAAUGUGCAGAUGUGACAUGUGAUGCUCCUGAUUCAUUCAUUCUGUCUCUUUCUCUCUCUCCUUCUCAGCUAGCUGGAAGCAGAGAACCCAGCAGAGGAUUCUGGGAAGGUCCUGGGGGAUGGCAGAGCCAGCAGAGAGAGGGUACGGAUCCACCAGGCAUAGGGUGGAACAGAGCGCUACUGACCACAGUGAACUGGGGCAUGGGCAAUCAAUAAACAUAUAUUAGAUUAA